AGGACGAACGCUGGCGGCGUGCUUAACACAUGCAAGUCGAGCGGAAAGGCCCUUCGGGGUACUCGAGCGGCGAACGGGUGAGUAACACGUGGGCAACCUGCCCUUAGCUCUGGGAUAGCUCCGGGAAACCGGAAUUAAUACCGGAUAUGACCUAGGCCGACAUCGGCCGUGGUGGAAAGUUUUUCGGCUAGGGAUGGACUCGCGGCCUAUCAGCUAGUUGGUGGGGUAAUGGCCUACCAAGGCGACGACGGGUAGCCGGCCUGAGAGGGCGACCGGCCACACUGGGACUGAGACACGGCCCAGACUCCUACGGGAGGCAGCAGUGGGGAAUCUUGCGCAAUGGGCGAAAGCCUGACGCAGCGACGCCGCGUGGGGGAUGAAGGCCUUCGGGUUGUAAACCCUUUCAGCAGGGACGAAGCGAAAGUGACGGUACCUGCAGAAGAAGCGCCGGCUAACUACGUGCCAGCAGCCGC
rnacentral:rRNA from 1 species